rnacentral:rRNA from 1 species
GAACGGGUGAGUAACACGUGGGCAAUCUGCCCUGCACUCUGGGACAAGCCCUGGAAACGGGGUCUAAUACCGGAUAUUACCUUCCUCUGCAUGGGGGUUGGUGGAAAGCUCCGGCGGUGCAGGAUGAGCCCGCGGCCUAUCAGCUUGUUGGUGGGGUAAUGGCCUACCAAGGCGACGACGGGUAGCCGGCCUGAGAGGGCGACCGGCCACACUGGGACUGAGACACGGCCCAGACUCCUACGGGAGGCAGCAGUGGGGAAUAUUGCACAAUGGGCGAAAGCCUGAUGCAGCGACGCCGCGUGAGGGAUGACGGCCUUCGGGUUGUAAACCUCUUUCAGCAGGGAAGAAGCGAAAGUGACGGUACCUGCAGAAGAAGCACCGGCUAACUACGUGCCAGCAGCCGCGGUAAUACGUAGGGUGCGAGCGUUGUCCGGAAUUAUUGGGCGUAAAGAGCUCGUAGGCGGCUUGUCACGUCGGUUGUGAAAGCCCGGGGCUUAACCCCGGGUCUGCAGUCGAUACGGGCAGGCUAGAGUUCGGUAGGGGAGAUCGGAAUUCCUGGUGUAGCGGUGAAAUGCGCAGAUAUCAGGAGGAACACCGGUGGCGAAGGCGGAUCUCUGGGC